UGGGCCGGCCGGAACUCCGAGCGAACUCGACUCAGUAAUAACGGCGAGGUUAGAGGGGCCGCGCGCCUUUCCAGUCGCACUCAGCGUAAGCGUUUACGGCAACUUCACAAAACUUUUUAUAAUCCGCAUUCUGACUGUUCUCUUUUCAAAUAUCACUUGUGAAAGUGCGUUUGUCAAUUAAAACGAGGUCCGUUGCCCUGGAACUAUUAUCUCGUUGGUAAAUCGGACGGUUCACUCAGCUGUCAUUUGUUUUGAUUAGGAAACGACGCGAUUUGCCGGCCGCCGGCUUCAACUAUUGCAGAAACUUGGGUGCUGCAUUUUAUUACUGCGUCUGUGUCAGCGGCUGGGCGCGCGCGCGCU